rnacentral:rRNA from 1 species
CACGUAGGGUGCGAGCGUUGUCCGGAAUUAUUGGGCGUAAAGAGCUCGUAGGCGGUGUGUCGCGUCGGCCGUGAAAACCUGCAGCUUAACUGUGGGCUUGCGGUCGAUACGGGCAUCACUGGAGUUCGGCAGGGGAGACUGGAAUUCCUGGUGUAGCGGUGAAAUGCGCAGAUAUCAGGAGGAACACCGGUGGCGAAGGCGGGUCUCUGGGCCGAUGACUGA